UCUAAUACCGGAUAUNAGAGCCAUGGGCAUCCAUGGUUCUGUAAAGCUCCGGCGGUGCAGGAUGAGCCCGCGGCCUAUCAGCUUGUUGGUAAGGUAACGGCUCACCAAGGCGACGACGGG
rnacentral:rRNA from 1 species